CGGAAGUUCCCUAGGGGUCAAAUCAGAGCUGCAGCUGCCAUCCUGUGUCACAGCCAUAGUAACAUAAGAUUUGAGCCUACACCUGUCUGCGACCUACACCACAGCUCACAGCAAUGACGGAUCCUUAACCCACUGAGCAAGGCCAGGGAUUGAACCUACGUCCUCAUGGAUACUAGUCAGAUUCCUUACCACUGAGCCACAAUGGGAACUCCCCUAGAUGGAUCAUUUUUCUAAUCCAUCAAGCUUCUCCUGAAUUAUAUUCAAGCUUCCUUAGACUGAGUGUUUUCCAUCUAAUACUCCAGGAUAAGCCAGGAUCUAAUUCUGGUCCUGCUUUUAUACAUUUUUAACUUCACUCAUCCAUUUACUCAACUGCUACUUUUCCCCCUUUGCACCACCCACUCCGCUAGCUCGCAGUGCCCAAGGCAGUCCCUGGCCUUUUUGGAGAUCACAGCCUUAGCGAGGACUACUGAAAUGAAACCAAAGGGGGUGUCCUUGUGGAAACAUAUGGCUGGGGCUGAAAGAAUGGGAGGAGCAACUGUAUUUCAGGAAUGUCGGGUGUGCUGUGGUUAAAACAAACAAACAAAACAACAGAAAACAAUCAAAACACCUCCAAAAUGCAAUAAUGUUAUGCAAUGAAGAUUUUCUUGCACACACAUUCCAUUGCAGACUGUGUGACUCUCCAAGGCAGCCAUCCUUUCUACAGAAAUCAUGACUGCUUGUUUCUCCUGGUGUCUUACCAACAUGCGCCAGCUUCCAGGUGAGGCAGAAAAAGCGGACCUGGUGGGGGUGGUGUCUCACACCUGCAUUUAAGCGCCUUUGAGUGGAAGAACCCCCACCCUGCUCUCUCCUGCUCACGUGCCAUUGGCUGGGACAGAUCACGUGGCCGCAGCUAAGCGCAGGGGAGGCUGGGAGAGACGCCUUGCCCAGAGCAGGUGCAGGUGGAGGAGAUGGACAGACGGGCACAUGGCAUCGUCUCUUCUGCGGUGACUCACGUGGCUGGAGCCCAGAAAGAGAAGCUCGGGUUCACCUACUCCUGGACUCUCAGGUGUUAAGACCACAAAAGACCCAAGACCUGAGCCAUGACUGGAGAAGCUGCACUGAAAUUUUCCAGAAGGACCUGAAGAUUUCACGUAUAAGUGCUAUCAUAGGAUGUCUGUCUUUCUCAAGACCUAUCUUUGUUGAAAUCUGGGAGAAGAAAUCCAGGCAAGCCAAAGGGAGGUGGAGGGCAGGGAAGAGUGUGGCCAGCAGAGGGAGCUGCAGGCGAGAAAGAGCAUGGCAGUUUGAAGAGCUGCCAGUCCUGCUGGAUGCUUCUCCCUCAGUCAGUUGCAGCAAGCCUCUGGGCUAUAUUUAUUAUACCUCUGGAGGCCUUCCCACAUAGGGUUGUGGUUUCCGUCUCUUGCCCCUAGGCCUCCUGAGUAGGAGAACUGAGCAGUGCAGGGUGCUGCCCAAGCUGGUGCUGGGACCCUGGGCCCCCAGUUUAGGAUUCCAUUCUGCCCUUGCAAGAUGAGACCAGAGGGAAGCUGUUAAGGCAUCUUUCCAGGGAUCAGGCGGGAAUGAGAGUCUGUCAUUUAUUCAUUCAGUGAACACAAAAUGCCUCCAUAAUGACAGUCUCCAUGCUGGAGACUCAAGAGCCACAAAGAUAAAUAUCUUAUCAGGAACCUGCCCUGCCCAAGUCCCUGCACUAGGGAGAUAGAUACAUGCACAAACAAUUACAGAAAACCCCAAAUAGCAGGC
rnacentral:lncRNA from 9 species